rnacentral:misc_RNA from 1 species
GUGAAUCAUCGAAUCUUUGAACGCGAAUUGCACUCUCUUCGGAGAGUAUGCCUGUUUGAGGGUCAGCCUAAAAAAAAUCGACAUUGUUGCUGUUAUUUAAUGGUGACUUUCGUCGGAGAUUGGGUUAUCUUAAACCUUUUUUUUUUUUUGGUUUAAGCGACUUAAAAUUUUUCUUCCCGAUUCCAUGAACGAUUCUCAGAUUUUUAUUUCUUUAACGUUUAAGUUUUAUCGUUCUUUUAUUAGACGUGACCGUCGCAUCGGCUGC